AAACAAAAGAAAAGAAAAUAAAACAAAGGUAAAAAGAAUCCAUAAUAUGGCUGUUCACAAACAAGUUAGUUUCCUUGCUUACCUACUACUUGUUGUUGGAUUAUUGCUACUUGUAAGCGCGGUGGAACAUGUUGAUGCCAAGCCUUGUACUAUGGAAUGUGGUCAUCUUGGGUUUGGGAUAUGCCCACGUUCACAAGGAAGUCCGCAGAAUCCCAUAUGCACCAAUUGUUGUUCAGGUUUUAAAGGUUGCAAUUAUUAUAGUGUUAAUGGGACUUUUAUUUGUGAAGGACAAUCUGACCCAAGAAAACCAAAACCUUGCCCCUUAAAUUGUGAUCCACAUAUUGCCUAUUCAAAGUGUCCCCGUUCAGGAGGAAAGACGUUUAUUUAUCCCACUGGAUGUACCACGUGUUGCACGGGAUACAAAGGUUGCUACUAUUUCGGUAAAGAUGGCAAGUUUGUUUGUGAAGGAGAGAGUGAUGAACCCAAGGCAUGUACCAUGGAAUGUGACCCUAGAGUUGCAUACAUGAUUUGUCCAUCUUCUGGAUUGGCCAAACUUAGCCAAGUUUGUGUUAAUUGUUGCACUGCAGGGGACGGUUGCAAACUCUAUGGAUAUGAUGGAUCUUUAAUUUGUACUGGGGAGCCUCAGAGCUACAUAUCUACAGCAUAAGGCAUGAUGCAUCAUCAAUAAUAUGUGUUGUACUUUUUAAUUUAUAAUGUAUGAAAUAAAAGGAUGGCAUGCUAAUCACUAUAAUGUGGGCAUCAAAGUUGUGUUAUGUGUAACUACUUAUUAUUUGAAUAAAAGAAAAAGAUCAUCCAUAAUUAUAUUGAGGACUUGGCUCCUCUCUAUGGGUGAUCUCCUUUGGUCUUAUCCAUAG
rnacentral:misc_RNA from 1 species